UACGGAGGAUCCGAGCGUUAUCCGGAUUUAUUGGGUUUAAAGGGUGCGCAGGCGGGAUGUUAAGUCGGCGGUGAAAUUUUGCAGCUCAACUGUAAAAGUGCCUUCGAAACUGGUUUCCUUGAGUGUAGAUGAAGUAGGCGGAAUUUGUGGUGUAGCGGUGAAAUGCAUAGAUAUCACGAGGAACUCCGAUUGCGCAGGCAGCUUACUAAACUACUACUGACGCUCAGGCACGAAGGCGUGGGGAUCAAACAGGAUUAGAUACCCCGGUAGU
rnacentral:rRNA from 1 species